rnacentral:rRNA from 1 species
AAAUGAAUUGACGGGGGCCCGCACAAGCGGCGGAGCAUGUGGCUUAAUUCGACGCAACGCGAAGAACCUUACCAAGGCUUGACAUACACCGGAAACAUCCAGAGAUGGGUGCCCCCUUGUGGUCGGUGUACAGGUGGUGCAUGGCUGUCGUCAGCUCGUGUCGUGAGAUGUUGGGUUAAGUCCCGCAACGAGCGCAACCCUUGUCCCGUGUUGCCAGCAGGCCCUUGUGGUGCUGGGGACUCACGGGAGACCGCCGGGGUCAACUCGGAGGAAGGUGGGGACGACGUCAAGUCAUCAUGCCCCUUAUGUCUUGGGCUGCACACGUGCUACAAUGGCCGGUACAAAGAGCUGCGAUGCCGUGAGGCGGAGCGAAUCUCAAAAAGCCGGUCUCAGUUCGGAUUGGGGUCUGCAACUCGACCCCAUGAAGUCGGAGUCGCUAGUAAUCGCAGAUCAGCAUUGCUGCGGUGAAUACGUUCCCGGGCCUUGUACACACCGCCCGU